rnacentral:rRNA from 1 species
AUACCGUACCUUGUUGCUUCGGCGAGCCCGCCCCCUUUUUCUUAGGGGGGCACAGCGCUCGCCGGAGACACCAACGUGAACACUGUCUGAAGUUUUGUCGUCUGAGUCGAUUGUAUCGCAAUCAGUUAAAACUUUCAACAAUGGAUCUCUUGGUUCCGGCAUCGAUGAAGAACGCAGCGAAAUGCGAUAAUUAAUGUGAAUUGCAGAAUUCAGUGAAUCAUCGAGUCUUUGAACGCACAUUGCACCCCCUGGUAUUCCGGGGGGUAUGCCUGUCCGAGCGUCAUUGCUGCCCUCAAGCACGGCUUGUGUGUUGGGUCGUCGUCCCCCCCGGGGGACGGGCCCGAAAGGCAGCGGCGGCACCGCGUCCGGUCCUCGAGCGUAUGGGGCUUUGUCACACCGCUCUUGUAGGCCCGGCCGGCUGCUGGCCGACGCUGAAAAGCAACCAACUAUUUCUCCAGGUUGACCUCGGAUCAGGUAGGGAUACCCGCUGAACUUAAGCAUAUCAAUAAG